rnacentral:lncRNA from 1 species
CGGGACAGAACUUCCAAAUAGUGACGAGGGAGAGGGGUUAGAAAAACCAUAUGGUGGAAGGGAUUUGAAAAUCAAGAAAAAUUCUUGGAGAGGCAUUGCUUUCAUGGCCUAAUCAACCCUAUGCUUCCAAAGGAGCCCUUAGAUUUUUCUCUUUUCUCUUUGUUUAGACAAGUGGCAUAGAUCUAUGGAACUCAGCUGAAAUUAUUAUUUAGUUUAUAUGUGACACAUUGUGCACAGAAGAUGAUCAUGGUGACACUUCACUGCAUGAAUAAAUCACAAUAUCAUUGUUGUUUCUACAGGCAAUGACAACACAUAUCCUAUAUCAUUGUGCAAAGUAUGGUAGAUAAUAUCCAAACAUUGCUUACAGCAAAAUUAAACAUACAACACUUACCAACAGAUUUUAUAGUUUUCAACACAUUUCAUCGCAUAUACCUCCUUGAAAAAUCGUGUGCUCUGGUUGAUAAGAGGUAGGAGUACGUCUGGAGUAGAUUAAAAUACAUUAGUUGUCCUCGAUUGUACGCUUCUAAUCCACUCCACCAAGCACUUUGAGAUCCACGCUCGACAGUUUUCUCACGGAGAAAUUCCACGCUGGACGUUAGCUCCACACGCAGCCGUUCAUGUGGCUCGUCCGGAUUAGCGGGGCCGUCGUCAACCCCGGUCCACUCCCUUCUCC